GCCUGAGUGGCUCAGUUGGUUGAGCGUUGGGCUUCGGUUCAGGUCACAAUCUCAAGGUUCACGGGUUCGAGACCCGUGUCAAGCU
rnacentral:tRNA from 1 species